AACGAACGCUGGCGGCAUGCCUAACACAUGCAAGUCGAACGAUCCCUUCGGGGAUAGUGGCGCACGGGUGCGUAACGCGUGGGAACCUGCCCUUAGGUUCGGAAUAACUCAGAGAAAUUUGAGCUAAUACCGGAUAAUGUCUUCAGACCAAAGAUUUAUCGCCUUUGGAUGGGCCCGCGUUGGAUUAGCUAGUUGGUGGGGUAAAGGUUCACCAAGGCGACGAUCCAUAGCUGGUCUUAGAGGAUGAUCAGCCACACUGGGACUGAGACACGGCCCAGACUCCUACGGGAGGCAGCAGUGGGGAAUAUUGGACAAUGGGCGAAAGCCUGAUCCAGCAAUGCCGCGUGAGUGAUGAAGGCCCUAGGGUUGUAAAGCUCUUUUACCAGGGAUGAUAAUGACAGUACCUGGAGAAUAAGCUCCGGCUAACUCCGUGCCAGCCGCCGCAGUAAGAC
rnacentral:rRNA from 1 species